GUCUUGAAACACGGACCAAGGAGUUUAGCGUGUACGCGAGUCAUUGGGUGACAAACCUAAAGGCGCAAUGAAAGUGUCAGGGGGCGCUCCGCGUCCCUGGCGGGAGGAUGGGCGAACCGGCCUCACGGCCGGAGCCCCGCACUCCCGGGGCGUCUCAUUCUCGACUCGAGUCGAGACGCACCAGGAGCGUACACGCUGAUACCCGAAAGAUGGUGAAUUAUGCCUGGCCAGGAUGAAGCCAGGGGAAACCCUGGUGGAGGUCCGUAGCGAUUCUGACGGGCAAAUCGAUCGUCGGAACUGG
rnacentral:rRNA from 1 species